rnacentral:tmRNA from 1 species
GGGGGUGUAAUGGUUUCGACACAUUUAGGGACUUACAUAAUGCAGUAGUGUGGCAGACUAUAAUUGCUACUAGGCUUUCUUAAACGGAAAAUCAAAAGAAAAAGAAUUCAAUGCAUUUGCAUUAAUGAGUUCACAACAAUCAAAUCUUGCUUUUGCUUAAUUAAAUGCAAUCAAGUUGCUUUAAGUGACUCCUUUAGCUUAAAGUAGGUCUUAAAGGAUAUAUAACUAAAACUGACAAGUUAGUUAUGAAUUUUUGUCAAAUUGCAGGAGUUAAUUUUCUUUCAUUUUAUGCUUGCAAUUACAAAAUGAAAUAAACUGUAGAUUUGUGUAUGAGCUUUAAGUGUGGACACGGGUUCGACUCCCGUCAUCUCCACCA